GACAUUCACUACAUCGAGAACCCAGCUGCAGCAUAGGCCUGUUGAGUAUUCCAUAUGUCUCCCGGCAGACGAGGUCCUUGCAACACCACCCAACUGCAGGUGGAAAACCUGAGCAAGGUUCCGCCCACCAACCGGGUUGCAGAGAAGAUCCCCAAACCAACAUCUUGCUGGGUUUAGCACAGGCAAGCAGAUCUCCUGUUGUACGUGGUUUGCCGGAGGGGAAGGAUUAUGAAAGAAUUAGCUUCUAUCUUCAGAUCCAGAACUGUAUCCAGGCUGGUAUUGAACAGAAACAGACCGUGAGUUUAUCGUCCUGCCUCUGCCUUCCCACUGCUGGGAUUCCAUGUGUUGAGCAUGCCCGCUGUUAAUAGGUGCUGGGGAUGGAUCUCAGGACAGACGAAGCAAGCACUCUACAGUGUCUGUACCAUGGUACCAGUGGAAGCCAGAGAGAGAGCUGGAGUCACAGUUGUCAGCCAGCAUGUCGGGGCUAGGAAUGCAACCUGUGUCUCCUGCCAGCGUAGCCAUUGCUCCAGCCCCUCUUUAAACAUAACAUGGUGGAGAACGUGGAUGGACUUUCAGAUGUAGCGGCUUUGAAUGUCAGGAAUAAAUUUCUUGGCCAUCUU
ensembl:antisense Gm12932 predicted gene 12932